rnacentral:rRNA from 1 species
GAUGGACGCUGGCGGCGCGCCUAACACAUGCAAGUCGAACGAUUAAAGCACCUUCGGGUGUGUAUAAAGUGGCGAACGGCUGAGUAACACGUGGGCAACCUGCCCCUCUCAUUGGGAUAGCCACGGGAAACCGUGGAUAAUACCGAAUACUUCGGGACUUCCGCAUGGAAGACUCGAGAAAGCUCCGGCGGAGAGGGAUGGGCCCGCGGCCUGUUAGCUUGUUGGUGGGGUAAUGGCCUACCAAGGCAAUGAUGGGUAGCUGGGUUGAGAGACCGACCAGCCAGAUUGGGACUGAGACACGGCCCAGACUCCUACGGGAGGCAGCAGUGGGGAAUCUUGCACAAUGGGCGAAAGCCUGAUGCAGCGACGCCGCGUGCGGGAUGAAGGCCUUCGGGUUGUAAACCGCUUUCAGCAGGGACGAGGCGAAAGUGACGGUACCUGCAGAAGAAGCCCCGGCUAACUACGUG